CGCGGCCUAUCAGCUUGUUGGUGAGGUAAUGGCUCACCAAGGCGACGACGGGUAGCCGGCCUGAGAGGGUGACCGGCCACACUGGGACUGAGACACGGCCCAGACUCCUACGGGAGGCAGCAGUGGGGAAUAUUGCACAAUGGGCGGAAGCCUGAUGCAGCGACGCCGCGUGAGGGAUGACGGCCUUCGGGUUGUAAACCUCUUUCAGUAGGGAAGAAGCGAAAGUGACGGUACCUGCAGAAGAAGCGCCGGCUAACUACGUGCCAGCAGCCGCGGUAAUACGUAGGGCGCAAGCGUUAUCCGGAAUUAUUGGGCGUAAAGAGCUCGUAGGCGGUUUGUCGCGUCUGCCGUGAAAGUCCGGGGCUCAACUCCGGACCUGCGGUGGGUACGGGCAGACUAGAGUGAUGUAGGGGAGACUGGAAUUCCUGGUGUAGCGGUGAAAUGCGCAGAUAUCAGGAGGAACACCGAUGGCGAAGGCAGGUCUCUGGGCAUUAACUGACGCUGAGGAGCGAAAGCAUGGGGAGCGAACAGGAUUAGAUACCCUGGUAGUCCAUGCCGUAAACGUUGGGCACUAGGUGUGGGGGACAUUCCACGUUUUCCGCGCCGUAGCUAACGCAUUAAGUGCCCCGCCUGGGGAGUACGG
rnacentral:rRNA from 1 species